UGAGCUGGGGGUGGCCGCAGAGACCAGCGAGAAGCGACUGUUUACUAAAAACACAGGUCCGUGCGAAGCCGUAAGGCGAUGUAUACGGACUGACGCCUGCCCGGUGCUGGAACGUUAAGGGGACCGGUUAGUCGAGUUUCGAUUCGGCGAAGCUGAGAACUUAAGCGCCAGUAAACGGCGGUGGUAACUAUAACCAUCCUAAGGUAGCGAAAUUCCUUGUCGGGUAAGUUCCGACCUGCACGAAUGGCGUAACGACUUCUCGACUGUCUCAACCAUAGGCCCGGUGAAAUUGCACUACGAGUAAAGAUGCUCGUUUCGCGCAGCAGGACGGAAAGACCCCGGGACCUUUACUACAGUUUGAUAUUGGUGUUCGGUUCGGCUUGUGUAGGAUAGCUGGGAGACUUUGAAGCUCGCACGCCAGUGUGGGUGGAGUCGUCGUUGAAAUACCAGUCUGGUCGUGCUGGAUGUCUAACCUGGGUCCGUGAUCCGGAUCAGGGACAGUGUCUGAUGGGUAGUUUAACUGGGGCGGUUGCCUCCUAAAGAGUAACGGAGGCGCCCAAAGGUUCCCUCAGCCUGGUUGGUAAUCAGGUGGUGAGUGUAAGUGCACAAGGGAGCUUGACUGUGAGACCGACGGGUCGAGCAGGGACGAAAGUCGGGACUAGUGAUCCGGCGGUGGCUUGUGGAAGCGCCGUCGCUCAACGGAUAAAAGGUACCCCGGGGAUAACAGGCUGAUCUUCCCCAAGAGUCCAUAUCGACGGGAUGGUUUGGCACCUCGAUGUCGGCUCGUCGCAUCCUGGGGCUGGAGUCGGUCCCAAGGGUUGGGCUGUUCGCCCAUUAAAGCGGUACGCGAGCUGGGUUUAGAACGUCGUGAGACAGUUCGGUCCCUAUCCGCUGUGCGCGUAGGAGUCUUGAGAAGGGCUGUCCCUAGUACGAGAGGACCGGGACGGACGAACCUCUGGUGUGCCAGUUGUCCUGCCAAGGGCAUGGCUGGUUGGCUACGUUCGGGAGGGAUAACCGCUGAAAGCAUCUAAGCGGGAAGCCUGCUUCGAGAUGAGGACUCCCACCCCCUUUGAGGGGUUAAGGCUCCCAGUAGACGACUGGGUUGAUAGGCCAGAUCUGGAAGGCGGGUAACCGCUGGAGGUGACUGGUACUAAUAGGCCGAGGGCUUGUCCUCAGUUG
rnacentral:rRNA from 1 species